rnacentral:lncRNA from 1 species
UUCCAUUCGUUCUUUUCCCGUGCAGUGAUCGAAAAAAGAAUGGGGUAAAUGUUUAAUUUUUGCAUUCAGAAACAUACACAACCAAUCAUUCGUAGCCACUUAUUUAUCUAACCUGCAUACCCGACAUCUCUUAAGCAGCAUUCAUCUAGAACAUUCUUGAACAACUCCAUUCGUCAUUCAUUUUUGGGAGCACCCCUAAUUUUCUCAAAAAAAAAAUAUUUAUCUCAUGAAAAUCCCCACAAACAAGCCAUUGGAUCCUCCCUAAACUUUUGAGGAUGUUCCACGAAUCUUCUCUAUUACUUGCACACGGAGCCCCAUAGAACCCACUGAACCUCUAUUCCCAAGCUUCAUCCGCUUCUUUGACCACUACAUCCACAUGGUUUUUUGAGAAACUACGUAGAGUAAUUACGAUCGAAUCCUUUCAUGCCAGGCAUAAUCCUCCAUGAGUACCUACUACCGAUACAUCAAUCCCAUUAACGAACCCUCAUCUGCUUCUAAUUAUUGCCAUCUGUUUCUCACGUGUCGAAGCCUUCUAAUCGUCCUUGGAUUCCCCAGUCCACAA